UACAGAGGGUGCGAGCGUUGUCCGGAAUCACUGGGCGUAAAGGGCGCGUAGGUGGCGGCCCAAGUCCAUGGUGAAAGCUCGAUGCUCAACAUCGAGUCGGCCACGGGAUACUGGGUUGCUGGAGCACUGUAGAGGCAGAUGGAAUUCCGGGUGUAGCGGUGGAAUGCGUAGAGAUCCGGAAGAACACCGGUGGCGAAGGCGGUCGCUGGGCAGUUGUGGCA
rnacentral:rRNA from 1 species